rnacentral:rRNA from 1 species
AAUCAACGCUGGCGGCGUGCCUAAUACACGCAAGUCGAACGCGAAAGUCCCGCAAGGGGCAAGUAGAGUGGCAAACGGGUGAGUAACGCGUGGGCGACCUACCUUCGAGUGGGGGAUAACCUUCCGAAAGGAGGGCUAAUACCGCAUGACAUCCCGUGUUUGGAUACACGGACAUCAAAGUCGGGGAUCGCAAGACCUGACGCUUGGAGAGGGGCCCGCGUCCGAUUAGCUAGUUGGUGGGGUAACGGCCCACCAAGGCUUCGAUCGGUAUCCGGCCUGAGAGGGCGGACGGACACACUGGGACUGAGACACGGCCCAGACUCCUACGGGAGGCAGCAGUGGGGAAUCUUGCGCAAUGGGCGAAAGCCUGACGCAGCGACGCCGCGUGAGGGAUGAC